rnacentral:rRNA from 1 species
UGCAGUCGAGCGGACUUGAUGAGAAGCUUGCUUCUCAUGAUAGGUUAGCGGCGGACGGGUGAGUAACACGUAGGCAACCUGCCCUCAAGCUUGGGACAACUACCGGAAACGGUAGCUAAUACCGAAUACUUGUUUUCUUCUCCUGAAGGAAACUGGAAAGACGGAGCAAUCUGUCACUUGGGGAUGGGCCUGCGGCGCAUUAGCUAGUUGGUGAGGUAACGGCUCACCAAGGCGACGAUGCGUAGCCGACCUGAGAGGGUGAUCGGCCACACUGGGACUGAGACACGGCCCAGACUCCUACGGGAGGCAGCAGUAGGGAAUCUUCCGCAAUGGGCGAAAGCCUGACGGAGCAAUGCCGCGUGAGUGAUGAAGGUUUUCGGAUCGUAAAGCUCUGUUGCCAGGGAAGAACGCUUGGGAGAGUAACUGCUCUCAAGGUGACGGUACCUGAGAAGAAAGCCCCGGCUAACUACGUGCCAGCAGCCGCGGUAAUACGUAGGGGGCAAGCGUUGUCCGGAAUUAUUGGGCGUAAAGCGCGCGCAGGCGGUCAUUUAAGUCUGGUGUUUAAUCCCGGGGCUCAACCCCGGAUCGCACUGGAAACUGGGUGACUUGAGUGCAGAAGAGGAGAGUGGAAUUCCACGUGUAGCGGUGAAAUGCGUAGAUAUGUGGAGGAACACCAGUGGCGAAGG